AGAAUCUCCUCUGGGGAAACCUUCGUGGCCUGGCAAUGCUGGGUUAAGAACUCUUUCCUGUGCACGCUCCUAAACGCCGGUUUCAUAGGAACGCUCUAUUUUUGGAUAACAAGAAGAAACCCAUAGCCUGCUGCUUCCAACUUGGACCUUUCAAGGGAAUGAAUAAGCACUUUAAGAAAGCUGCCCUGUUCCACUACAG
rnacentral:lncRNA from 1 species